CAAUGGCACUAUUAUAGUCACUAGAUCUGAAGCCAGGGUUUUAUGGCUCUAUAAUAAAAACUAAAAUGUAACUCUUUGAGCUAUUCCAACUUACCUAGAUAACAAUAAGCUGUCAAAUAGUGUACAGGAGACUAACUUUGAAAAUAAAGACCUCUGCUUUAACUUAGGUCAAUCCUUAGCCAAGAUAAAUCAGCAAUAUGCUCCUGCAAAAGGAUAAUACAUUUUUUCAAAAGAAAUAGAAACUAAUAAAGACUGUUGUGAGGAUGGUGCCAAGUUUGAACAAUGACCACCAUCAUCCUGUCCUCCAGUUGUGGUCUUAAACUUUAUAUCUAAGAAAAACAAACAGAACCAGACUUUUUUAAUGCUAAAUAACAACCAGGCCAGUACAAUUGUCUACUGAAUAUGUUAGGGACUUGAUGGUAAUGUUUUGAAUCAUUCAGUGUGGAAUAAAAUGUAUCAGUGAUAUUCAAACUAUAAUCCAUAGGCCAUAUUCAGCGAGUGACAGGUCUUAACUGGUCACUUGACAUUCUCGCUAUGCAGAAUGAAGCAGAAAAGACUUAAUUCAUUGAACACCACAAUUUUGUGUGACCUGUGACACACAUAUUGCACACAUGUGGCCCCUAGAGCAAACAAGAUUUAGCACCAUUGUAAUAUAUAAAGUUUGCAAACCAACAUAAAUUCUUUUUUUUGAUCUGAGAACAUUUAAAAGUAUCUGACACUAUUCAACACUUUCUGACAGCCGAAACUUUGCAAAAUACAUGGUUACAAGGAGUGUUCAUUAAAUGUGUGUAUGUUAAAAUAAAAAUUUUUGCUGUCUCGUGUAUUUCAAUGAAGUGUGAUUUAUCAGCAUAUUGUAACAAGUUCUGCGUUUCAACUAUUUUGCUAAAA